rnacentral:lncRNA from 1 species
CGAAGUCAGUGGGAGAGAGAGAGAGAAAAAGUAAUGUGGGCUCUAUAAUGAGGCAACGGGGUUGGCAGGGGUGGCGGUGGGGGCGACAGCGACCGGUAAGCCGCAGGGGCGACGAUUGCAGGGGUGGCUGUGACCGGCGAGUGCUCCAGGAGAGGGAGAGGCAAAAAGAGAGAGAGAUUAAAGAGAGAGGAAGAGUAGUCGGGACUGGGUUGUCGGGUAUACCUAGUGAAAACAGUAAACAGUUCACCGCUUUCUCAAGG